CUUCACUCUCUCCCCACCACUCCCCAUUCCAUGGUGGCCUCCGCCUGUUCUCCCCGCUGCCUGCUCUCCUCCGCAUGUCGUGCCGUCGCACGACGCCUCCUCCCUGUUGCCACGAUGUCGCCCAGCGCCUCCUCCUCCACCCCUCUGCCUCGCCCCGCCGCCUCCUCGCCGCACGACGGCCUCGCCUCGCCAGCAACCCCGCCGGUAUUACCUAGAUAAACUCUGCCGCUGCCAUCCCCAUGUCCCAGCGCAGAUCUAGAUGGGAGCUAGAGGGGCAUGCUGGACACGAUGCGCGAGAGGGCAUAUCAUAGCGGACCGAGAUCCAGUGCGUCUACGUGCCCGCCGUCAUCGUUGGCCCCCGUGCUUGGCUCCCACACUCGCUCCAGGUAGGUGCUCGCAGCUCGCCUACUGCUCGGCUGCUCCAGGUACUUGACGGACUCAGUUAAAGCACAACGUGAGGCUGCAGCAGAAGCUUGAGGAAUGCAGGGGCUAAUAAUAGUACUCAUCAACCAAAAAUACCGGCGUCCUCAACCAUGCUUUGAACUUUUGGAGAUCAAGCUGUACGGUUGUACCAUGAAGAUUUUUGAUGCAGUUUAAGGAUUCAAGUGGCGAUUGCAACCCAAAACAUUGCAAAGAAUCUGCUACCAGAGGCUUCAUUAUGCACACCUUUUCUUUUUACAAAAUGGAGUCUGAUCUGCUGUCAUCACAUCACCAGGUAUGCCUACAGCACCAAUGUUUGUACAGUGACAUUUAUUCACACACAAAUGAAGAUAUUCUAAGGUUAGAACGAACAUCACCUUCAACACCUGGUGUGUAUCGUAGUUGGGUGACAGCAGAUUGCGCAGUGGGCCUCUCGGCGGUGUGAAAAUCCGGCAGAAGAAAUCACUUGAUCAUAUAUUUGAUUAUACUUCUGAUUGCUCAAUCAUAUAUAAAGAACAAAAUAUAAUGGACAAACCAGGUGAUAAUGAUAUUGCCGCGUGUGUCCUAGAUGGGGUGUGUUCUGCAUUAAGAAUAGUAGAUGUAGCUUUCUUAUGAGCCAUGUUUAGUGCAUACCUCUCCCUUUCCCUUUGUCUCUUCAACUCUUUAGGACCUGCCAUUUGGCCUGCGUGACAAAAUCUUUACCUAGGCUCGAGUUGGUGAUAUAUUUAAGUUACUUACCUGAGUUGGCGAUGUUGAAUAGGUCCUCAAAUUGGGUCCCUAAGUCAUCACGUUGAGUCGUAAUUAUUGAAAUUUUCCUUGUUACAAAAUGUCCGGUUUGAUUUGAAGGAAUUUGGAUCAUGAAAUGGAGCCUGAUCGGACAUCAUCACAUCAGCAUUUAUGCCUAUACCACCAAUGUCAGUACAGUAACAUUUUUUUACACACAAAUGGAGUUCCAAAUUUGUUAGGCUGAGAGGAUGCCAUAUGCAACUGUCUCAAUCAGGAUCUUAGUGUUCCCAAUCAUUGUUGUUGUACAUGAAAGAUUUACUUGAGCCAUAAACAGGAUGGUUGCAGGAGAAAAAUAAGUACAAUGAUUUGGUGUUUUCAAUGCUUUGAGCUGAAAAACAGUUCAGAUACCUGAAUUGCUGAUGUUAGUUAGGUCCUGAAAUGGAGUCCUAAAGUCGUUACGCCGAGAGGAUGCCAUAUGCAACUGUCACAAUCAGGAUCUUAGUGUUCCCAAUCAUGGUUGUUGUGCUUGAAAGAUUUAGUCAUGAGCCAUAAAUAGGAUGGUUGUAGGAGAAAAAGAAGUACAAUGAUUUGGUGCUUUCAAUGUUUUGAGCUGAAAAACAGUUCAGAUUAUAUGCUUCCAGCCGUGAAACUGCUUAUCGCAUUAGUCUUUUUCAUUGUAUUUUAGCGCUUCCGGUGAUUCCUUCUCUGUCAUCAUUGUGCUUUUCAGGUUUGAUUCCUUUUGUGACACAUUAAGUGGCCUCACAGGUUGGUUGCACGUUUCCCUCUAUUAUGUAAGUAGUAACCCAUAGUGCUGCUUUUUUCCUUGGUGCUAAUAGAAACAAAUUCUCAAACAUAGUACGCAAGAAAUAUUCAAUGGCAGGAACACCAGUACGAUAUUAUGCAUAUAUAAUCAUGAACAUACUACAAUAUUUGUUUCCUCAGGUUCUGUGCCCAGUUCAAUCACCGCUCCACACAGUAGGGUUAACCGAAGAGUCUCUUAGGUUCUGGGCCUCUGGACUGUACAAAAACACCAUGAGAAAACAAAACAACAGGAGAAAACUCUGUUAGAGCCAGCACACCUGUAGACUGUGAACCCAAGUAGCAGAACAUGACAAUUUUUUGUGAAAUCGGUCACUCCAUCUAACCACACUGAUUAAUGUGUUUAUCCAAGAAUAGUAUUCAGUAGAAUAGCAGACAAGAAUGGUAAAUCUCGACAGAUAGGAGAGAAAUUGUGCAGUAAGGCAGCAAAGCGAAGCUGGGACUGAACCUGGAGACGAUAUCGGAUGACGCCGAUCUGCUCAACACCCUUGAACGGCUCCGGGAGCAGCGGGAACAGGUUUCGCCCUCGUGCCACCAGGUUUUGCCGUCCUGUUGCUGGUUGGCGAGCCGAUACUUCCGGUCGGCCUUGUUGGUAUCGGAAACGCUGGAGAAGAGCUACGCCGCAGGCAUGAAGUCCUUCCCGGUGACCAGGUAUCCGUCGGGGACUCGAACGUCCACCAUACGACCGUGUCGUCAGCGUGGAACAACACAAAGUUGUCGUCAUCUCGCAGGGCGCCCGCAACUCAGGCAGAUCUGAUUGGGCGACCAGGUGAAAGGAGGGGCGGCCACCCACUCGACGGUGCGGUGCAGGGUGGCAAGGGAGCCGGCAGGGAGGCGUCAACGCGGUGCAUGGCCGUGAGGGAACCGUCUAGGGAGGCGACGAUGCGAUGCAGGGAUCGAGGCCGCCGUGCAGGGAGGCGACGGGGCUGCUGAGCUUCGUCUGGGGCGGUGGCGAGGAAAGGCGGGGAGAGGGGCGAGGGAGACGAUUAGGUUUAGUUUCCUUUUAUUCAAAUUGAUUAGAUGGUUAGAUUAGCGUGAUUUGAGGGCCUGCGGAGGUGGGAUGGAGAGUUUCAUGUUUUCAUCUGGUGGAGUAUGGUCAGUCCAUGUAAACUGCUAAGCGCACACCAGAUCUCGAAUAAAUUAAUAAUGGCUGUUAGAUUGGGUCGUGUGGGCUUCAUCCUGUGGUGGUGAUGUGUCUGUGUACGUUUUGCGGGGUGUACGUAAGAAAGUUCUUGUUUGAUUGUUUAAUAGUAGUAGAAGAUAGAU